GAUGAACGCCGGCGGCGUGCUUAACACAUGCAAGUCGAACGGAAAGGCUCCUGCUUGCAGGGGUACUCGAGUGGCGAACGGGUGAGUAACACGUGGGUGAUCUGCCCUGCACUUCGGGAUAAGCCUGGGAAACUGGGUCUAAUACCGGAUAGGACGAUGGUUUGGAUGCCAUUGUGGAAAGUUUUUCGGUGUGGGAUGAGCUCGCGGCCUAUCAGCUUGUUGGUGGGGUAAUGGCCUACCAAGGCGUCGACGGGUAGCCGGCCUGAGAGGGUGUACGGCCACAUUGGGACUGAGAUACGGCCCAGACUCCUACGGGGGGCAGCAGUGGGGAAUAUUGCACAAUGGGCGCAAGCCUGAUGCAGCGACGCCGCGUGGGGGAUGACGGCCUUCGGGUUGUAAACUCCUUUCGCUAGGGACGAAGCGCAAGUGACGGUACCUGGAGAAGAAGCACCGGCUAACUACGUG
rnacentral:rRNA from 1 species